AUUGAACGCUGGCGGCAGGCCUAACACAUGCAAGUCGAGCGGAUGAAGGGAGCUUGCUCCUGGAUUCAGCGGCGGACGGGUGAGUAAUGCCUAGGAAUCUGCCUUGCAUUAGGGGAUAACGUCCGUUUACGGGUGCUAAUACCGCAUAGGACAAUAGUGUGAAUGAGGGGGAUCUUCGGACUUCACGCUUACAGAUUAACCUAGGUCGGACUACCUAGUUGGUGGGGUAAAGGCCUACCAAGGCGACGACCCGUAACUGGUCUGUGAGGAUGAUCAGUCACACUGGAACUGAGACACGGUCCAGACUCCUACGGGGAGAAGCCGUAGGGAAUGUUGGACAAUGGGCGAAAACCUGGUCUAGCCAUGCCGCGUGUGUGAAGAAGGUCUUCGGAUUGUAAAGCCCUUUAAGUUGGGAAGAAGAGCAGUAAGUUAAUACCUUGAUAUUUUGACGUUACCAACAGAAUAAGCACCGGCUAACUUCGUG
rnacentral:rRNA from 1 species